AUUCAGCAUAACGAAGGGAACAAGGGCUCUUCCAGCCAGCUCGCGUGAACGGUACACAGGAGAGUUACCACAUCUAGAAGUGAGGAGACAGAAAGGAAUCUGGCUUCAGUUCAGGAGAAAGAAUGGAAAAUGGGAACAGUGCCAGUGUUUGUGACUGCCAGAUAUUUUGUCAAAAGGACUACAAAUAACCAAGCCAAGAAAGCUGAAAGCUUCUUUUUCCACAUAUUUAUUUUGCUUUUCCCCCAAGAGAAGAAGCUAUCCCAGACAUACGAACAGAUUUCUGUAUAUCUAGAAACAAAUCGGCACCUUACUGGAAAUUGUUUUAGACUCAACCAAGUUCUCAUCUGAAUAGUUGCUUCCUAAUGUACUGA